AUUGAACGCUGGCGGAAUGCUUUACACAUGCAAGUCGAACGGCAGCACGGACUUCGGUCUGGUGGCGAGUGGCGAACGGGUGAGUAAUGUAUCGGAACGUGCCCAGUCGUGGGGGAUAACGUAGUGAAAAUUACGCUAAUACCGCAUACGAUCUAUGGAUGAAAGCGGGGGAUCGCAAGACCUCGCGCGAUUGGAGCGGCCGAUAUCAGAUUAGGUGGUUGGGGGGGUAAAGGCCCACCAAGCCAACCAUCUGUAGCUGGUCUGAGAGGACGACCAGCCACACUGGAACUGAGACACGGUCCAGACUCCUACGGGAGGCAGCAGUGGGGAAUUUUGGACAAUGGGCGAAAGCCUGAUCCAGCCAUUCCGCGUGCAGGAUGUAGGCCCUCGGGUUGUAAACUGCUUUUGUACGGAACGAAAAGGUUUCUACUAAUACUAGGAGCUCAUGACGGUACUGUAAGAAUAAGCACCGGCUAACUACGUGCCAGCCGCCGCGGUAA
rnacentral:rRNA from 1 species